UAAAUUCACCAGUGGGCAGGCAAGAGGAGAUACAGGUACUUCCGAAGAGAAACUGCAAUUAUUUCUUUCAUAUUCCUCCCAUGGGGUAGAGACAGAUAUAUUUCCAAAGUGGAAAUAAUCUCUCUUCUGUGGACAUGUGCAAAGAGGAGAACAAGUCUUCCUCCUUCACAUACUCACUCCAGGAAUCUCCCUCUAGUCCCAGCUAGAUAGGUGGUAGGUGGUUUGUCCAUCCCCUGAUCCAAAUUCCAAGGGAUGAAGUUCCCAUUGUGGUUCAGUGGGUUAAGAACCUGACUAGUAUCCAAGAGGACGAGGGUCCCAGACUCCCUGCUAUACCUGCUCACUCAUUGGGUCAAGGAUCUGACGUUGCCCAGAGCUGUGGUGUAGUUUGCAGAAAUAGCUCAGAUCUGGCAUUGCUAUGGCUGUGGUGUAAGCCAGCAGCUGCAACUCCGAUUCAACCCCUAGCCUGGGAACUUCCAUAUGUGGCAGGUGCAGCCCUAAAAAGCAAAUCAAACAAAACAAGGGACAAACUCCCUCACACCUGAGGCAACUACUCACCCCGUCCCUAGAGAGCCCUGACUCUGGGAACAUGGCCAUGAGUCAGGUCAGCCCCCUGCUCCCUUCACACAGAGCCCCACCUUGUGUCCACUGAGCCACACCAGUUAAGGCUGUAGCCCCUCCUAUUUAGCUGGUUUCUAGAUAUUUAAAGAUAGCUGUUCUCUUAGCUUCUCACUCUUUUCUUUUUCCAGGUAUACAUGAAUCUGGGAAUAGGACCAGGUGGUUCCUAGGCCACUCUGCUGCUGAGUUUCUGGUGCUCAGGAUCCUUAGCCAGGGUCUUGGGCCCAUUUCUCCAGCUCUGUCUGACUGGCAGAGGAUGGGACAAGUUCUUUCCACCACUUGAUCAUUACAGUACCAUCAAGGCCAGACUCAGGGGCAUCUGCAGCCAUGGACAGGCUGACUUAUUUCCUUCCAUGCUCUGAACUCAGAGCCUGGCAUUGGUGCCUGACUGGGGGCUCAUGGACCCCACAGCCAAUCUUCUUAGGUAAGUAGAUAUUUGCUCUAUCACUAACUUCGUAGUCAAAGUUCUGUCAUGUUAUUAUAAAUAAUUCAUAGAAAGCUUAUAGUUGGUUAAAACCCCUGGGUCUCUAACUGGCUGUCCCAUCAGUGGUUCCACUUAAUUCCUGUGUCCUUAGUUUUUAAAAUUCAAAUAUAGGACUUUGUUUUUCCUGAUAAAUUUCAACUCCUUGGUUCCAAUCUGACAACAGAACUUUUCUUCUUUGUCAAAGCCCCAGUCUAAAUUCCCCUCAUUCCCACUUUCCUAUUCUAUCCUCACCACCUCCUGUAAACAGAGGUACCAUUUCUAAUAUUUAGUAUCAAGUAUGGUGUGGGCAUUGAGCAAUCAGAAAUGAGCCCACUAUGAUUUGGGGGAGUAAGGAAAGGGGGGGUCCCAGGCUCCCUGCUAUACCAGGCUUUACUCUUUUUCUUAGCUAAAUUGUGGAAAGGUCUAAGGGGCUGGGAGCAGAGGCUGCGUUUGUUGAGAUGGAGGAGGAGGGGACCUGGGGGUACCCUGCUUUAGCAAUUGAUAAGGAAUCACUUCAGAAUUUUAAGAGAUGGUACAUUCACACACUGGAUGUAUCUUCUGAAUAUGAGUUCUGACUCUAAGGAGAAAAAAUGGAUGAAGGAUGAUGAACAUCAUGUUCCUUGAUGGGAAAUAAAUCCAGAACAGUGAUUUGCUCAAGGUCAACAGAGGACUUUUAACUCUGAUCUCCAGCAUCUCUUGGUCCUUCCUAUGACCUUGUUCUCAUUUUCUGCUAGUGAAUAUGAUGGGGCAAGUUGAAACACAAAAGGGGUAACAAAAAAUGGGCAAAAAGAAUUUGCUAAGAAGCUUAACACAGAAAAUACUACCCACUGUAGGAGUAUAUUUAUAUGAAAUUUCUAGAAAGGGCAAAACUCUAAAGAUAGCAGGCAGUAAACAAGAAAAAAAAAAUCAGUUUGUUUCAAUUCUCUGAAUAUUUGUUGCCUGCCCAACACAUGCCAGGCUCUGAGUAAGACUUUCCAGGACAUUCUGGGGCAGUGGCCGGCAGCAGGUAAUUGGUACCAAAUUGAAAAUAGACAGCUUGAGUUUGUGGCCCAGGAGCUGGGGUCUCCAGGAACAACCAAGAGAAGCAGAUAUAGCAUUUAACUUCUGGUUGGUGAGUUCUCUGUGAAAAUAUUCAUUAUUUUCAUUUAAUAGCAUAUUUAGUCAUUGAUUAUUUUUUGCCUGCAAAGAGCAUGUAAUAUAAGUGAAGCUUCAAAUAAUAAAACACAAGCUCCAAGUUAAUUAUUUAAAAUGAUAAACCUUUUGUUUUGGGUUUUUUGUUGUUGUUUGUCUGUUUGCUUUAUAGUUUAGCCAAGAGGCUACAGGAGCAUCAGGCUUCCCCUGCUAUCAUUUACUGGCAGUGCAAUCACUGCUGUAUUUUUUUUUAAGGAUCACACCCUCAGCAUAUGGACGUUCCUGGACUAGGGGUUGAAUCAGAGCUGCAGCUGCCAGCCUACACCACAGCCAGAGCAAGGCAGGAUCCUUAACCCACUGAGUGAGGCCAGGGAUAGAACUGGCAUCCUCAUGGGUAACAGUCAGGUUUGUAACCUGCUGAGCCACAAUGGGGACUCCUAAACCUUUCUGUUCUUCUAAACUAUUUCCUUCAUGGGAUGACUUAGAACUCAUUUUCCGUUCUGCCUGCUUCUUGCCAGCUAUUUCUCUACUCACACUGCAUGUCAUGCUCUCUAUCCAGGGCUCCCUUCCAAGGUAACAUUCUUCUCCCUCCCUUCCAACAAAGGUCUGCCUGGUAUCUGCCUUGGAGCUCACCCAAAAGAAACUUGGCAAUGGAGGUAAGUCCCAUCUUUUCAUAUGAACUAUGACUUCUCCCUGAUGGUUUUUUUCAGUGAUCUAUUGCUAGGUAACAAACCACUCCAGAACUUGGAGGAGCAAUCACCCACUUGCUUACAAUUCCUUUGACCUUGGGCUCAGCAGAAGAGGCUUAUCCCUGUUCCUGGUGGUGUCAUCUUCUUUGGGCCUUUGAGGCCCCCAAAAUGCCCUCCCUCACAUAUCUGUUAUUUGGUAUUGCCUGUCAGCCAGGAGCUCAGCUGAGAUUGUCUACAGAGGGGUGCCUCGGUUUUCCUCCACAGGGCUUACUUUUGGCUUCUCCUAGUGUGGUACCUGGGCUCCAAGAGGGAGCAUCCUAAGGGACAAAGACCACAGCUGCAGAGCCUUAAGGCCCAGCUUCCUAGGUUAGGUAGCAUUACUACCGCCAUAUGCUAUUUGUCAAAACAGGGUGCAAGGCCAGCCCAGACUCUGCCUUUCAAAGGGAGGCCUUGGAGUUCCCAUCAUGGCAUAGCAGAAAAGAAUCCGACUAGGAACCAUGAGGUUACGGGUUUGAUCCCUGGCCUCGCUCAGUGUGUUAAGGAUCCGUAUUGCUGUGGCUGUGGUGUAGACCGGCGGCUGUAGCUCCUAUUAGACCCCUAACCUGGGAACCUCCAUAUGCCUCAGGUGUGGCCCUAAAAAGACAAAAAACAACAACAACAACAACAACAACAACAAAACACACCAUCAAAGGGAGGCCUUAACAAAGCUCAGCAGACCACCUUUCAUCCUCUACUGAGGUCUUUCUGACUUUGAAAAAAAAAAGGCCUGUUCUUUUAAAAAUAAAUUCCUAUUUUUGUCUUGUGCAUUCUCUUUCUUUUUUAAUAUGUGCCUAUUUUUGACAUCCUUAUUUUAAGUCCCUCUCAGAUUGUUUAUUAUCACCGGUGGUGAAUUUUCCUGUUGCUUUAUAAUUUUUGUGUGUGAGGAGUUCCCAUUGUGGCUCAGUGGGUUAAGAACCCAGCUAGUAUCCAUGAGGAUAUGGGUUUGAUCUCUGGCCUUGCUCAGUGGGUUAAGGAACUGGGGUUGCUGUAAGCUACAGUGUAGAUCACAGAUGCAACUCAGAUCUGGUCUUGCUGUGGCUAUCGCAUGGGCUGGCAGCUGCAGCUCCAAUUAGACCCCUGGCCUGGGAACUUCCAUAUGCCACAGAUACAGCCCUAAAAAGAAAAUAAAAAAAAAA
ensembl:lncRNA